AUUGAACGCUGGCGGAAUGCUUUACACAUGCAAGUCGAACGGCAGCACGGGGGCAACCCUGGUGGCGAGUGGCGAACGGGUGAGUAAUACAUCGGAACGUGCCCGGUCGUGGGGGAUAACGUAGCGAAAGUUACGCUAAUACCGCAUACGAUCUGAGGAUGAAAGCGGGGGACCUUCGGGCCUCGCGCGAUCGGAGCGGCCGAUGUCAGAUUAGGUAGUUGGUGGGGUAAAGGCCUACCAAGCCGACGAUCUGUAGCUGGUCUGAGAGGACGACCAGCCACACUGGGACGGAGACACGGCCCAGACUCCUACGGGAGGCAGCAGUGGGGAAUUUUGGACAAGAGGCGCAAGCCUGAUCCAGCCAUUCCGCGUGCAGGACGAAGGCCUUCGGGUUGUAAACCGCUUUUGUAUGGAACGAAAAGGCUCUGGCUAAUACCGGGGGCUCAUGACGGUACCGUAAGAAUAAGCACCGGCUAACUACGUGC
rnacentral:rRNA from 1 species